AGUGUUGUCCCCAGCCUCAAGCCUCUCUGCACCGUAAUUGUGCUUCUUUUCCUCAGAUACCUGCCUUGCAUUGGCCCUGGGUAAAUGUUUCCCUUGGCUGUGAAUAGGCAAUUAAAAUUCUGAACCUUUUAUGGCUCUGGAAGCUUAUCCGAUGAAACAAUACUCAUCCAGGCGGAUGGCCCACCAGCGCAAAGGGCUGAGGCCGCUGUAAGCCAAGGUACGCAACGCUUGCUAAACAGGAAUCCCUGGAAUGAAUCCAUGCAUGAGGCCUUUGUGCCAUGUGACAGUUGAAGGCUGUGGUGACCCCGGAACCGUCCCACUCCGAGACGCCUUAACACCGUUUUUCUGCUGUUACAAACCACAGAGCAACGCGUGUGCCUCCUCCCGCCCUGGGGACUCUUUCUGUGGGAGAGGUGCCUGGAUUUAGAGGAGCGACCACUCUUCAUUUGUAGGAUCUUGGUCACUUUCCCAGUUGUCACUCGGCCCACAAACUAGGAUGUGAGCAGCAUAUUAAGAAUCUGCAGAGAUGUUCCCGUCUGCCCGGCAUAUGGAUGUCCUUCUGGGCUGCAAAGUGGCAUCCUGCCAGCUCUGGGGAUUUGGGCAGCAGAUUUGGGGUUGACAGCAGAAUGACAUGAUCACCAGUUGACCUUGGCCAGGAUGCCAGCUUACUUUCUCGCUUACUUCUGCAGGUUCUUUGUUCUGCGGGUGAGUCACCCAGGUCCUGCCCUCCGUGCCUGUCUGCCCUCUCCCACUUUCCCUGCCCUGAGCUUGUUCCCACUUGUAGAUUUGGCAGGUCACUGCCAAGGCCCCUAUUCCCCCAACAUGGCCAGUGCCCUAAGGGUGGGUUGUACAGGGAGGAGCUGGCGUGGUCAGUAGACUUGAAUCAGGGACAACUCGGCUGCUGAAGGCUGAGGGGGCCUUGCAGGGCUGCAGGUGCCUUGUGCACACAGGGAGUGGGUAGAGAAGGCAACCAGGGGCUCCUUCAGGCCUUAAUGCUCUGCAGCCCAGUGAGGCUGUGCCCA
rnacentral:lncRNA from 1 species